rnacentral:rRNA from 1 species
GAUGAACGCUGGCGGCGUGCCUAAUACAUGCAAGUCGAGCGAACAGACGAGGAGCUUGCUCCUCUGACGUUAGCGGCGGACGGGUGAGUAACACGUGGAUAACCUACCUAUAAGACUGGGAUAACUUCGGGAAACCGGAGCUAAUACCGGCUAAUUUCUUGAACCGCAUGGUUCAAUAGUGACAGACGGUUUUGCUGUCACUUAUAGAUGGAUCCGCGCCGCAUUAGCUAGUUGGUAAGGUAACGGCUUACCAAGGCAACGAUCCGUAGCCGGCCUGAGAGGGUGAUCGGCCACACUGGAACUGAGACACGGUCCAGACUCCUACGGGAGGCAGCAGUAGGGAAUCUUCCGCAAUGGGCGAAAGCCUGAUGGAGCAACGCCGCGUGAGUGAUGAAGGUCUUCGGAUCGUAAAACUCUUUUAUUAGGGAAGAACAAAUGUGUAAGUAACUAGGCACGUCUUGACGGUACCGAAUCAGAAAGCCACGGCUAACUACGUG